rnacentral:other from 1 species
CAAGUCCUGAUGUGUUCGUCGUUUGUCGCUUUUUGUUUUUACCAACACUAUUUAUACGGGAGCUUGGAGUUUUCAAGCAGCGUACAUGCCUUCCGUCGUGUAGGACUUACAGAAACUUGAAGCAAAGCACCCACCUGCGAGAGCGGGAUAAAAACACUAGCCGCGACGGCACGAUUGGGAUUUGU